GAGAUAGAGGUGCAUUCAUUAAGAGUACCAAUGGGGAGCGGGGCACGCGUUGAACCACUGGAAAAGGAAUGAUUGCCGAAGUUCCAUUAGGCCCUCUAAUGGUUCUGGUUACGUUACUUAAUAGGUGCGUAACUGUCAUCAACUAUGAUGGAGUGCUAUUUC
rnacentral:ncRNA from 1 species